rnacentral:tRNA from 1 species
GCUUAAUUGGUUAAGCGUCUGACUCUGGGUUUUGACUCAAGUCAUGAUCUUGCGGUUUCGCGGGUUCAAGUCCCGCAUCAGGCU